AGUCAGUUUUUCCCCCUCCCUCUCUCUCUGUCUAACCAGCUGCCCUGAAGAAGAAUCCCAAUAUCACGUAUCAGUUAGAUGACCAAGUUCAGGGCCCGUGCAACUGCAGCAGCUCGGCUCUGGAGACCGGAUCCGUUGGGGAUACGAUGGACCACACCCACAUAGUGAUUAGACCGUCUGAUUGGACGCCAUGUGGACGUCUUGACCACUACCAUGUCUUUCAUGCAAAUUUAAGAAGCUUCCGACUCUCCAUUUGCGAGCGUGUCGACCAGGGCUGACGUUAAUGGAGGUGGAGAGGAGCGAACACAUCAGAACGGCGGGAUCUCUCUUGUCCUCCACCCUUCUCCAGCCCUUGGGCGUCUUCAGCAUCAGAUGUCAUCCUGCCAAAGACAAAACAUCUGACAAGUCUCUCCGGACAUUGAUGUAUGGACUGUGAACUCCUGACCCAAUGAAAAGCAACAAGAGGGACUGUUGCCGCACAGCAUGGAGCAUGUCAGGGGUCACAAUGGUGAGUUAACAACCUGCCAGGCUGUAGUAGCACUGAAUAUACAGUGACACGCACAGGUUUGACGCAAAUGACGGAAUCAGUCCUUUAAUGUACGUCAGGCCAUCACUAAAAUCUGCAGAUCUCAGUCUAUGCACUAUAAUAACCUUUGAGAAAACAUGCUCCUAAUUUUAAACUAUACAAUUAAUGAACAGAGGAGUCUGUCAGUUUCCAUAACCCGAAUCCUACUGAAAACUAAACUACCCCUGCUACGAUUUAACCUAAGGUAAAAUAAUAUGAAAACACAUCAUGACAACGAGACACAUGGAUAAAUGCUUCGAUGAGCCGCUGUCUGAUCCCCGUGCUGUCGCGCUCCGCAUUUGCUUCCAUGCUGUUUGGAGAAACUGACCAACGGCUCGAGGCGCUGCUGCCGUCGCCCCCUCAGCGCCCGCUGCUCCACACUCCGCAAUAAUAAUAACAAUAAUCUUAAUGACCUUCUACUGUGUCCAUUUUUUCCUCUUUCCUUGCGUCCUGACCUCUCUCUCUUAUCCCCGUUACUUCCACUACAGCGGAGAUGGCUAAACACCCCCUCUUUAGCCCGAGGGUGAAGCCAAUAGGUCCACAGUGUGUGAGUCACAGUGUCUCCCAUCUUGGAUCUCCACCUCAGCGUGUUUCCAUAUCCUGCCUCUGGGGCUGCAACACGGACACCGCUCUCCUCCUCCUCCU
rnacentral:lncRNA from 1 species